UACGUAGGGGGCAAGCGUUGUCCGGAAUCAUUGGGCGUAAAGCGCGUGUAGGCGGCCUGAUAAGUCGGCUGUGAAAGUCAAGGGCUCAACCCUUGAAUGCCGGCCGAUACUGUCAGGCUAGAGUCCGGAAGAGGCGAGUGGAAUUCCUGGUGUAGCGGUGAAAUGCGCAGAUAUCAGGAGGAACACCGAUGGCGAAGGCAGCUCGCUGGGACGGUACUGACGCUGAGACGCGAAAGCGUGGGGAGCGAACAGG
rnacentral:rRNA from 1 species